CGUCACUGCUGCGUUUGUCUUCUGGCUCGGUAGUUCCCAAACAAACGACCAUGGCGGACCCCGAGGAGAUACGCAGCCUGUUGGGGAACGAGGACGAGGGUUCGCGGAGGGGACCCGGCCGACCGAUGUCGGCUAUAUGCGACCCGAACCACGUCCUGCAUCGUGUCGUUGUCCUCAUUUUUAUGUGCUUCCUCGGAUUCGGAAGCUACUUCUGCUAUGAUAAUCCUGCUAGUCUUCAGACUCAAGUCCUGCAGGACUUGGACCUGAACACAGCGAAGUUCAUGCAGCUGUACGCCUGGUACUCCUGGCCCAACGUGAUCCUCUGCUUCUUUGGGGGAUUCCUCAUUGAUCGAGUCUUUGGGAUCAGACUCGGCACAAUUAUAUUCUCCCUUUUUGUGUGCGUCGGCCAGGUCAUUUUUGCCACCGGCGCCCUUGUCAAUCAUUUCUGGCUGAUGGAAGUAGGCCGCUUUGUGUUUGGUAUUGGGGGCGAAUCCUUGGCGGUGGCUCAAAAUACGUAUGCAGUCAACUGGUUUAAAGGAAAAGAACUCAAUCUGGUGUUCGGCCUUCAGUUGAGCAUGGCCCGCCUGGGCAGCACAGUGAACAUGAACAUCAUGGGCUGGGUUUAUGGCCAAGUGGCGACGGCUGUGGGAUCCACAGGACACACGACUCUGGGCAUCUCACUCAUGAUAGCUGGGGUUACAUGCCUGUUCUCCCUCACCUGUGCCUUGCUCCUGGCGUUUCUCGACAAAAGGGCUGAAAGUCUUCUUGAAAAUCAGCGGAGCAGAACAGGUGAUGUCAUUAAGCUGACUGACGUGAAGGACUUCCCCUUUCCUUUGUGGAUCAUCUUUGUGAUCUGUGUGAGCUACUAUGUAGCCAUCUUCCCUUUUAUUGGACUGGGCCAGGUGUUCUUCAUUGAGAAAUUCAACUUUUCCCCAGCUGAGGCCAGAGCUGUCAACAGUAUUGUCUAUAUAAUCUCUGCACCUGCGUCUCCUAUUUUUGGGUUUAUGGUGGACAAGACAGGGAGGAAUAUAGUUUGGGUAAUAUGUGCUGUGAUCACCACUCUGUGUGCCCACAUGAUGCUGGCCUUCACCUUCUGGAACCCCUGGAUUGCCAUGUCACUCCUGGGGGUCUCCUACUCUCUCCUGGCAUGUGCUCUGUGGCCCAUGGUGGCCUUUGUGGUGCCAGAACAUCAGCUGGGGACAGCCUAUGGCUUCAUGCAGUCGAUUCAAAACCUGGGACUGGCGCUUAUCGCCAUAGCAGCCGGAGCCAUCCUGGACUCCAGAGGAUACCUGGUUCUGGAGCUGUUUUUCUGCGCCUGCCUCUGCAUUGCGCUCAUGGCUGUGGUGACGCUUUACCUCGUGGACUACAUGCGAGGAGGAGAGUUGAACAAGUCACCUGCAGCCAGAGAUCAGACGGAAAUCACCUCGGCUGCUGAGAGUUGGGGGAAUCCAAUCAGGACCACCUUUGAGGAACUAGAAGACUUCUUAGAGUCCUCCUGUUUGUGUGUUGUUUCCACUCUCUAUCUCUGGAAGCUUUCUGGAGCCUUGAAUAACAAUUCAGUCGUCCCUAGUUUGAAAGAGGCCAAAGGGCAUGGGUCCAAAGUUGGCCUACUGUUUUCCCGCUUCUUCACCACCUCUGAAGAAAAGGUUCGACCUGAGACCCCAUUUCUACCACAGUCACCGCCACACAUGAUGUACAACAGCUUGGGGACACUCCACAAUGGGGACCUGGCAACUAUGGUCCCAGAGCUGUCUCUAGUUGGAAAUGUUAAAAAUGCAGAAUUGCGACCCAGAAAGUAAAGAGGAGGGAACAAAUGUGUACGGCACCACCACACUGAAUGUAUAAGCAAUGUAUUUUCCAAUGUUAUUUAUGUUUUAUCGCCUGUUGCAAUUCUUUUAACACCACCAGUAAUAAACUGGACCCACAAAUAUGUGGUUUAACUUUUGAGUUAUGUGUGAAUAUUUGUGGCAUUUUUGUCCAUCUCAACCGUCUGGUAGAGGCUGAUAUUUUGAAAACUGAAGGGCUUGCCAUAAUAACAAAAAAAAAAAGUAUUUACUGUGUGACAAAACAUCAAUAUGACAUUUUUCCAUUGCUUAUUUUUCUCAUGCAGUAGUUAAAGGGUUAAUGUCUGAAUAGUGAGCGCAGCACAAAAAAAAACAAAAACAAAAUUAAUUACAAAAAAACUAGCAAAACGUAAUCCUCGUCCUGCCAUGAGCAUGCAGUAGAAUACAUGGGUGUGUGUGCGCGUUUGUGUGUAUGUUGGUGUGUGAUUGUGGAAUUGGUUAUGAGGAAGCAGCCAUUUUAAUUGUUGUUUUAAAUAUUUCUCAUUACUGUGACUCACAGAAAUUAAAAAAGUGAACUGUUAUUUCAGAAACUGUUUGGAAUACAUUAAAGAUGUGGUUUGCCAUUUAAUCUUAUUUAGUAAGCAGUCAUUUAGUUUGUUUUAUGAUUAUUGAGGCUUUGUUUUUUUAUUUUGAUAUUGCUAUCCGCCUGUCUUGAAAUUACUUUGUUUGAAUUUAUACUUAUAAACACCAGCCAUCUUACGUUAAAUAAGACAUUGUCCUGACAAACUAAAAAAGUAAUUUAAGGGCCAGAAAAAAAUCUGCAGCUGCAAAUACACUCUUUAGAGCAGAGCGUCACAGCGAGUCUACGGAGAUAUGACAUCAUCAUGACGCAGUGUUUUGUGAACGUGCAGAGGUAUUGAAGACAUGUCUGUCGGGGUGUGAGCGUGUGUGUGCGAGUGGUGGUGUGUCUGCAUGUCCAACAUGGUCGUGGUGUCCCUCUCCCCUGCCCCCAAUAGCUGGGAUUGGCUCCAGAUAGGAGCAAGUUCGUAUCAGACGCAUGUUAAUGACUGGCAGCUUUGACUUUACAUGACGCGAGUGUUUAUGUUGGCUGUUCCCGGGUGUCUCCCGUUUACACUUUGAUGUCUGAUCUACAAAUGAUUUACGAGUCUAGUUGCACAGAUGAGGUGCUGCUGCUUAUCCCCAAAUCCCUGAGCCUCACUGAAAACAAGCGCCACUUCAAAUCUGUUCCAGCGAGAAACUCUCCAUUCAUUCAAAGUCUCACACUCACGUCAGCCUUAAUCGUGAUCAAGUCGUGGUCACAUGACUCACCCACCUCUGCCAGCAUGACUCCGUCUGUUUGAUGAAUUUUUGAAGCUCUAGUUUAUUCAUCACACGCACCUCACCUGCCACAUGCCGAGUCAUUUUUUAUACUUAACUGUUCAGAUCUUUCUGAAUUGAAGUCUCAUAAUCCAUAGGGUCUGCGAUUAGCUGGAGACCAUAAUAUAUAACAUUAUUUUAACGUCAGGUCAACUGUGUUCUGAGUCUUCUGAGUGAACGAAAGAAGCCGGAACCUUCAUCAUGUGUUUGAACUGCCCGACUCUGCUCCCUUAAUUCCCUAAUUUGUCUGAAAGAAUUCAAUUAUGUCUUUUACUAACACAAUAAUUCUGCAGGGUUUUGUAAAGCACAGACUAAUGUGUGGCGCAUGCUGUAAUUGAUAUUUUCCAGAUGAUGAUGAUGAUGAUGAUGGUUUCGGGAACACACAUGGUCCUGGGCUGCAGAGCCUGCAGGCUGCACUGUCCACCCCUGAGCUGUCGACAGUCCGCUGAGGGGGCAGGAUUAGCGCUCCUGACUCCACCCAGUGCUCCAAUCUGUGCUUCUUCCCGGCACAACUGACUGUCUGGACACUAUUUACCUUUUAAUGUGCUGGUUAUGAUGUAAUCAGGAUGCUGCGGCGGGACAAGCGUUCAAGUUGCUUUCGUGGAAUUACCUCAUGAGAUGACUUUUAAAACACUUUUUGUUGUGUUUUCACCGGGAUUCAGACACAGAGAGCCUCAAAGAUUGACAACCUUUUUAAAGCUAAACAUCCAUAAUCUCUCCUGACAUAUUGUUCUGACAAUGAUGACGCCGUAAAACUGAUGCACGGCUUAUUUUGUGUUUUAAACUAUUGGGGAGUUUUUUAAUGUGUUUUCUAAUGUUUCUCUUUUAGAGUUUUGAAUAUUUUAAUAGCACUAAAAUGACUUCUUCCAGUGUGCUCCCUAAUCUCAGCUUUUUGUACUGCAGAAUCACAAAUCUUAAAAAGUUGCUGCUUCAUGUACAUUUAAAUACAAAUACUCUGUUGUUUUAUUUGUUGCCAGGAUGCUUGAUACUUUUUGUACCUGUAAAGUUCUAUUAUGCCCCGCAGCCUCUCUUUUAAACUUUACCAUUUUGAAUAUAGUGGUCUUUUUUCCUAAAACUGUUUUUAUGAAAAAAAGAAUGUCUUAUAAUACAGCAUCCUCUUCUAGCAUGUGGCUGUGGGUGCGGAACAGGUCAGGUCUUUGUUUUGCCAACCUGAGGGUAGAAUACAGUGUAUGUUUGUCAGGGAUUCCAAAAAGAAAAGCGCACUUCCUCUACCUCUCUCUAGUUUUUAAAGUGGCUGUAUUGACACUAUGGAGCUAAAACCUCCUAACUUGCUGGUUGUAUAUGGGGAUGAAAACUUGCUGAAAUCUGAUGUUUAAUUUCUUAUUCAGAUAUGUAAGCUCCAUAUAUUGUUUUCUACAUUUUUGUUCGACCAACAUUUUGCAUCAAUUAAAAACUGUUGGAGAGAUGUAACUUUGUUUCUGUUGUUUCUCCAGAACCUUUCCUGUCAGUAAGUGAUCCAUUCCGCUCGAAGCCGUCACAUUACUUAUUGUUUUCACGGUUGUUUUAGAUGUUGCUGAUGUAAUUUUCCAUUCCCACAGGACUCCAAAGCCAGCCAGCAAGCUGACAUCGGGUGAGCUGGCUCGGCGAACACCCAUGACUGCCUUUGGUUUGCGAAAUCGUUACCUGUCCAGACUGGGAAAACAGCUCCCAGACCACUAUUGCACCCACCUGUCAUCACUGGCUCACAGGAGCGUCC